UUGCCUAAAUUCAGAAAGCUAUAUUCCUUGUUCAAUGCUCGGUGGGCUUAAGCAUCCUGUUUUUCCCACCUGCUGCAGGAAAUGUGUGAUACUGCUGGUCUCUAACAAAGCGAUGUACAGAAGAAGCAAAAAUAGCAUGGAGUUAGUUGAACAUCCUGUUUCUCAUGGGAUUUAUAUCUUUUCCUUUAGUUUCUCAGAAGUUGGUAUGUGACUAGAGUCUGGGGCUAACUUUACAGAGAGCUUUGUGCCCUAUUUUUAUGUCUGAAAAUGCUUCAGCCCCUCACAGUCUCCCCUCUCUUUGUAAGAGAGUCAAACCAUUGACUCUUCAGUUUUUUUGGCUUGGUAACUUUCUCUAAUGAAAAGUAGCUUUAAUGCCGCUAGUCUCUUCUGAAUAUAACUCAUGAGGCAAUUCAUAACACAGGACCCUACAGUAACUACAAGCAGGAGGAGAGCAAGGGGACCUGCAAGGGCUGUCAGGAGGGUCGUUAGCCAAGGGGACCAUGAGAACAGGCCUUGAUACCAGUUUGCUGUUGCUUCUCUCUGAAUCUCUCUUUCUUUGAGGUUCUGUCUCACCAUAGCCAGGGUAUCUCGAAUAAUGCCUGAUUUGUUUGCAUAGAAGCAGCAGGUUUCACCUAAGGCCAUGCAAAGUCCCCCUUGUUUCAUAAAGAGGAGGUCCAGCCCUCUCCUAUUCUGCAAGACUACUUCCGCUAGGGAGUCUACAGCUGACUCUAAUUGAUGAACUGAGCUCUCUAACAUCCCUAGAUCUUUAUCUACUUGUUUACUGAGCACUUUGAAAUUGGCAUCAUUUACAACAAAAGAAGCAGUCCCUACUGCUACUGAUCCUGCUAUUCUCAGCCCAACUAGGAGGGGCACUAGGAUGGGGGCUGUUCUUUUUGUUCUAAGAGAAUAUAUUAAGCCCAUGUGUUCUCUACCGGCUUCCCUGUUAUAAACUUGAGGGAGGAUGUGAACCAAAAUAUAGAGCUCGGGUGCCCUUAGGUCUCCUACUCUAGCUGUUAUUAAUUGCUCAAACAAGGGGUUAAUCUGCUGGUACAAGCUAACCACGUGGCAGAUGGGCUAACCAGGAAGUUAACUUUUUCACGAGAGGCAGGGGAAGUGUAGUUUAGUUUCACAGAGUUUCUGAAGACAGGGAUUUUUGGUUGAAUAUGAAGGGGAAUGGAUGCAAAACCCUGUGCCUUGCACAUCUCCCAAGCUGGAGCCCAGCCAGUGUGUACAGAAGUCCAGGCUAUCCUGUUGGAAUGGCCACAUGAAGAAGAAAGGCCCCAGAGGAUGAGAGGGGACAUGGAUGAGAACUGAACACCCAGCCAGCAGCCAGUGCCAAUAGCCAGUUAUGGAAGUGGCCCUUCUUGGAAGUGGACCCCCCUGCCCCAGUCAAGUCUUCAGAUUGCAGCCCCAGAUGCAACCUCAUGAGAAACCCUGAGCCACACUGUCCAGAUAAGCUGCACCCAGAUUCCAGACGAAUAGAAGUUGUGAGAUAACAAAUGUUUGUGCUUUUAAGUCAUUCCAAGAAAAAAAUUUUUUUAA